rnacentral:rRNA from 1 species
UACGUAGGGGGCUAGCGUUGUCCGGAAUCAUUGGGCGUAAAGAGCGUGUAGGCGGCCCGGUAAGUCCGCUGUGAAAGUCGGGGGCUCAACCCUCGAAUGCCGGUGGAUACUGUCGGGCUAGAGUGCGGAAGAGGCGAGUGGAACUCCUGGUGUAGCGGUGGAAUGCGCAGAUAUCAGGAGGAACACCAAUAGCGAAGGCAGCUCGCUGGGACGGUACUGACGCUAAGGCGCGAAAGCGUGGGGAGCGAACAGG